GACGAACGCUGGCGGCGUGGAUUAGGCAUGCAAGUCGAACGGUAUCAUCCUUUCGGGGGUGAGAGAGUGGCGAACUGGUGAGUAACACGUAGGUUAUCUACCCUCAAGACGGGGACAACCCAGGGAAACUUGGGCUAAUACCGGAUGUGAGCAACUUUUAGUUGUUUGAAAGGUGGCGUAAGCUGUCGCUUGGAGAUGAGCCUGCGUCCUAUUAGUUAGUUGGUGAGGUAACGGCUCACCUAGGCAAUGAUAGGUAGGCGGCCUUAACGGGUGGUCGCCCACACUGGGAUUGAGAUACGGCCCAGACUCCUACGGGAGGCAGCAGUCGAGAAUAGUCUACAAUGGUCGGAAGACUGAUAGUGCGACGCCGCGUGAACGAUGAAUCCCUUCGGGGUUAAAGUUCUUUUAAUGUGAGCAGUGCUUCUUAUAUUAACAGUAUGGGGAAGAGAUAUUAGCAUAUGAAUAAGCAACGGCUAACUCCGUGCCCAGCAGCCGCGGUAAAACG
rnacentral:rRNA from 1 species